rnacentral:rRNA from 1 species
UACGUAGGGACCGAGCGUUGUCCGGAAUCAUUGGGCGUAAAGAGCGUGUAGGCGGCUUGUUAAGUCUUGCGUGAAAUCUCGGGGCUCAACCCCGAGCGGUCGUGAGAAACUGGCAGGCUAGAGUGCGGGAGAGGAGAGUGGAAUUCCUGGUGUAGCGGUGAAAUGCGCAGAUAUCAGGAAGAACGCCCGUGGCGAAGGCGGCUCUCUGGAACGCAACUGACGCUGAGACGCGAAAGCGUGGGGAGCAAACAGG